GCCUGGGUGGCUCAGUCGGUUGAGCGUCUGACUUUGGCUCAGGUCAUGAUCUCGCGGUCUGUGAGUUCGAGCCCCGUGUUGGGCU
rnacentral:tRNA from 1 species